CAAUAGCGUAUAUUAAAGCUGUUGCGGUUAAAAAGCUCGUAGUUGGAUUUCUGUCAAGGACAACUGGUCCGCCCUCCGGGUGAGCACAUAGUUUGGUCUUGGCAUCUUGCUGGAAACUGUUGCUGCGGUUGGUUGUGUGGUGCAGCUUUCAGCACUUUCACUUUGAGGAAAUUGGAGUGUUUCAAGCAGGCACAUGCCUUUGGACACAGUAGCAUGGAAUAAUUAGAUUGGGCUUUUGCUCCAACUUGUUGGUUCCUGGAGCUGAGGUGAGAAUCAAUGGGGAUUGUUGGGGGCAUCCGAAUUUAGCCGUCAGAGGUGAAAUUCUUGGAUCUGCUAAAGACGGACAACUGCGAAAGCGUUUGCCCAGGAUGUUUUCAUUGA
rnacentral:rRNA from 1 species